CCAUCCAGCUGGAUCAGCUGUGAGACCUUUCCUCCUCAGAAUAACUAAAAUUCUUUCAUCUAUUCAAUAAGACCUAUCCAGACCACCUUUGUGGAGGGUGACCAGUUGUCUGUCUUGGGAUGCCCAUGACUCUCUUGGUUCUAGCAUUUGAAAGCCCAAGAGUAUCAGUUACCCCUGAGUCCUGAACAAGCCAGUAGAGUUUAUGAAGUAGUGGCACUUGGAGGGAGACUCCCGAGUUUGAGAAGAUAUGUACCUUCCAAAGCUGACCACUUUCCAAGUUCUUGCUGAACUACUGAAUAGUGCUUUUCUAAAAGUG
ensembl:processed_transcript BC006965 uncharacterized LOC110305879